CAGGUGAUCCACCCCCUCAGACUCCCAAAGUGCUAGGAUUACAGUCAUGAGCCACUACUCCCGGGUGUACCAGGGUUUUCUAUUGAGUUUCUUGCUGAGGGUGACUUCCAGUAAUAACUCCCCCGCACUUUCCUCAGGACUGGAAAGCUCAGGCAGCCCAGGGUGAAUAAAAGCCUGAGUAGUGCAGUCAUCACAGAGGGGCAGGGUGGCCACAAGGUGGGCAACAGCAGGGAUGGGCAUUGUGAGGUAUUGCAUGGGGCUGUGGGGCUGGACAUUGUGUCACUAGCCUGACCUGGCUGUUUCCUGGUAAGCAGGUGACAUAGGAAGCUUUGUGGUUAUAAGCAUCAGCCAGGGCCAGCAACCCUCAGUCGGUAGCUGGUAGUGGAAGGAGGAGGAGCUCCAACUCUGCUGUCUCACAGCAGUUUUUGUGCCUCUUGGCACUUGUCGUGUUCAUUUAUUUUUCAAUGAAGACAGCAGGUCCCCGACCUCAUAGACCAGCCAGUUUGGGAGGUGGCGGCAGAGUAAGGGCUGAGGCCCCAGAUCUGCCUGGGGUCAGGCUGCUUCUACAAGUGUUGUGCCAGCCUCAGUAGUGUGGCUGCUGGGACAGCACCAUUUCAGUUUCAUCGAAGUCUCAGGCAGGAGUGGAGAGGAGUGUGGGUGCCCCAUGGGGUGUGUACUGACCUGUUGUAUCGACUCCACCUGUAGCUGGUGCAGGGGGAAGGUGGCACCCUGUUAUGAAUCUGAUAUUUAUGAGGCUGUGGCUGCUGCAACAUCAGAAUCCACUACCGUAGAGCCUGGAAAGUUGGAUGUGGGAGCCACAGAGGGCCACAGCCUCCCAAAGUGCUGGGAUUACAGGUGUUAGCCAGAGUGCUCAGCCAAAAAAUAAUUUUUAUGUAAACUAGUUAACCAAAAAUCACCCCCAUACUCGUGAACAUUUUUUCAUGGUAGAAAGUGUUCAAAGUCACGUCUCUCAGCUUCACUGGUGUAGGUAGAGCAGGCUGUGUGAGCUUGGCCUGUUUGAAUGAAGCUUGAUUUUUAGGGAAUCUCCCCAGGGAGAGUCACACAGGAGCUGCUGAAGCCCCUGAUCACAGGGCCCCAAAAGGGUGUGUAGAAGUCAUUUCAGAAGAUGACUUACAAAUGGGAAAUCAUCACUAUUUUUAAUUAUAGCAUUUUAAUAUUGAAUUUUUAAAUGAUCUCUAUGAGAAAGAAUUGUGAUUAAUAGAAUAGAGUAAUUUGGGUAAAAUUGAGUCCAUUUCACCCAUAAAAUAGGCUUUUAAUCAAGUAAUAAAUCCUUUAAAAUAGAUGCUAAAUGUGGCAUCAGCAUAAUUAGAUCCUAGUGUACUGACAUGGUCUUGAAUACAUUAAGAAAAUGCUGUUUGUUUUGUAGACUUUCAAAACAUUUGAGAGGCAGGAAGGCACUCUUCCAUUGACCCUCAGUGUGCAUUUAUUUCCAUUUUUGGUUGACUGCUUUGUGUUGCUGCCUGAUGCCUCUAGUACAAGUCCAAGACCUCCAUGUCUCAUGUCUUUCCUGCUCCCAUCCUCUGCCAUCCCUCUUCCCCUCAGGGGAAUAGCCCAGCAUCAACUCAGUCCAUGCUUGUUAAUCAACCACCUCCAUACAUCACAUCCAGCAAAGCUCCCUGAGUGACUCACAGUCACCAACCUCCGGUGCACUGAUCUUUCCUCUGUGUCCUUCCAGCUCUUCCUGAGGAUGGCCUGUUUUUAAGAUGUUCACCACAAUGCAAAGAUGAAGAUGAUGAUGAAGAUGGUGAUGAUGAUGAUGAUGGUGAUGUCCAGGUUUGAGGCCACGAUGUUGACUGUGAUCCUGUGUGACCUGGGAUGAGACAAGACACUGCGCCUCCAUUUCCUCAGCUGUGAAGGCAGACAUCACCUUGCUGGAGGGUUUUCUAAAUGUGAGGUUUGGAGACAAUGCCUGGCACACAGGAGGCUCAGUGACCGCUGGGUGUCAGGAUCAUCACCAGUGCUUUUCCUGUUCUCACCUUCCUCAUGGGGAGGAGGUGCCAGACCCUCUCCUGCAUCCUCCUGCAGGCAGGGGCCAGCGGGUCCUGGAUGAGCUCCUGGAGCUGCUCCUCCCUCUGCAGCUUCCACAGCAGUGAGCAGAUCAGACCCUUGCUGAUGACACCGUGGGGCCCUGCACGACAGGAAAGGGCACUGAGGGUAGACCGGCCACACCCCUCCCAUGCUGGUUGGCCUCAGGGAUCAGGAAGGAUUUUGCAGAGCAACUGGGUGGGUUUGAAAAGAGAACUUGCAAAUUACCCAUCACCCCCCAAAGCUGCCUGGCCAGGGGCCUGAGAAGCCAGCAGGAGGCUGUGGGUGAAGCCAUGUCAGGGGCUGAGUGAGAGGACAGGAACAGAGGACCCAGGAGGGGCCAGCCUUUUGUCACUGGCAUCUCAGGGGCAUCUGCCAUAGCAGGGCACAGUGUCCUGAGAGGCAGCAGCCACCCCCGGGAGAUCCAGCAGCUCACUGCUUCAGGGCCUACGCCCACCAGGAGACCCUCAGGUCUUCCCUACCACUGCCCUAGAAUAGGGGAGCCAACAAAGACCCCCCUUCCCACCCAAAAUAUUUCAAACGAGUUGGAGACUCACGCCUGGUUAUACCAGCCCCUGAGAAGAGCCUGGGUUCAACUCUGAGAUGGAAGACCUAGAGUGUAGGUCAGUGUCUCAUACACCAACAAGAGCUGUGCCCCAACUAAAGCGAUAGGAAGCCAUAGGCUCUGGCCAAGGGGUCUUGAAAGGACGUCUGGCUCUGUGGGAAGGGGGUCUCCACAUGGCACAGCUGGUGCAGGUACUGGCAGGAGUACAAUGAGGCAAGCCUCCCCCAUAAACAGGCCCCACCUGGCUCCUCCCAGCUGGAGAUGGAAGCCUGGGAGGGAAGUGGUUGGUUCAGCCUGGAGAGCCUGUGGGGCAGGUAAGAGUUGAGAGAUUUUAUGGAAUAUGGAGGCCUAUGGAGGAGAGAAGCCAGAGGGGUGAGGAGGAACAUCAAUCCCUAGAGGGGCCUGGGCAGGCACUAGCUUUCACUAAGGAGUUACUAUUUUGUCCAUCAUGAACUUGUUUCAGUUAAAUUUUCUUCUUUUUUUUUUUUCUGAGGUCAUUUAAUAGAUGCAGUAUACCUAAUUCAUAUGGCUGUAUGAGGAUUUUUAAAACUACUGUAUAUAAUGCAGAAUAUUUUAACAUCUUUUACUUGGUAGCUACUUACAAUCCUUUCUAAAUGUAAAACAUAAAUUAUCAAAAUGUGAGAAUCAGAUUUAGAGAGCUGACAUAAAAUCAUCAGUUAGUGACUAUUAUGACUCAGAGGCGCAUAUUUCUGCUUUUCAUUGGAGACUCAGGGUGCCCUCGCCAUUAGUUCCUUUAGCCUUAACAGCAGAGGUUUUUUUCUUAGGGUCAUUGAGACUGGGCACAUCUCAGAGUUAAUAUACAUUGAUAAAUUAGUUAAGUAAGAAAUAGAAAAAAGCUGAACUCAUGAGAAAAUUUGAGAAGACAGAGCACAUAAACAGGAGCGUAAUUCACAAUAGUUUAGGUUUAGCUAGCAAAAAUAAUCCAAAAUCUCAGUGACUUAAUAAAGAUUCAAUUGGGCUACAUAUUUAGAAAGAGUUGAGACACUGCAGAGUGCACAGCAAUCAAAUUCCAACCAAAAAAAAAAAAAAAAAAUUCCAACCUAAUGGAGUUUGUAUUCCAAUAACAUGUCAGCAUUUUCAUACUUCUAAAUCAAAUAUGUAUAUUCUUAGAUAGGUUUAUGAAGAUACACUCCAAUAGCAGAUUGGAGAGCUUCAAUUCCUAUGUUUGAUCCCUUAUUAAGCUACUCAUAAGUAAAAACCUUCUAUUGUAGUGUAAGUGAUAUGUAAUAUAUCUCUGUAUUAAUAUAUAUGUUAAUUUGCUCCAUAUAUUCUUUUAUCUGGGACACAAGCUGAAAGGAUUAGAAAUUUCAGCUCUUAAAGUUUGUAUGCCCAAAGGGGCACACAUAAUUUUCCUUCACAUUUCAUUAGCUAAAACAAUCCAUAUGGUCAAGUCUUUGUCCUUUCAGGUAAAACAUAAAAUUAACUCCAAACCAAGGAAGAGAAUAAGUAUGAACAAUAUUUAUCUAACAUAAAAUUAUAAAAAUUUCAGUGUGUAAACUAACAAAAUCCAUCUCAUUUCAUGAGGUAUAAAAUGUAUAAAAUGUUAUUUCUUUAUAAUUUAUUAAGUAUUUCUUUAUGAUUUUAAAGGCAUUUGGAAAAAAUGAAAUAAAACAGAAGUCUCAUGUUACUCUGGAGCCACAGAAUAGAGCCCACAUGUUCCAUAUGGCGUACGGUUCUUGGACUGGGGAUAUCAAUGAUUGACAUUAGGCAUGAUGUAUGCACAUGACCUCGGGAAAGUAUUGUAUUUAUAGAAGGUAUAGGAUUUUUUUCCUCUGAUUUUCUUUUAUAAUCUUUUCAAAUCAAUAAGGCUGAAUUAUAAUCAUAUUUUAUAAGUAAAGUUAGAUUUGAGCUC